rnacentral:rRNA from 1 species
AUGAACGCUGGCGGCGUGCCUAAUACCUGCAAGUCGAGCGAACAGACGAGGAGCUUGCUCCUCUGACGUUAGCGGCGGACGGGUGAGUAACACGUGGAUAACCUACCUAUAAGACUGGGAUAACUUCGGGAAACCGGAGCUAAUACCGGAUAAUAUAUUGAACCGCAUGGUUCAAUAGUGAAAGACGGUUUUGCUGUCACUUAUAGAUGGAUCCGCGCCGCAUUAGAUAGUUGGUAAGGUAACGGCUUACCAAGGCAACGAUGCGUAGCCGACCUGAGAGGGUGAUCGGCCACACGGGAACUGAGACACGGUCCAGACUCCUACGGGAGGCAGCAGUAGGGAAUCCUACGCAAUGGGCGAAAGCGUGACGGAGCAACGCCGCGUGAGUGAUGAUGGUCUUCGGAUCGUAAAACUCUGUUAUUAGGGAAGUACAAAUGUGUAAGUAACUAUGAACGUCUUGACGGUACCGAAUCAGAAAGCCACGGCUAACUACGUG